AUUGCUCUGCAGGAGAUAGUUGUUUUCAUGAUUGAGUUAAAAUUGACAGGCACUUAAAACCCCAUUAGCAAUAGUAAACAUUUAAAAACUUUUAUAGAAAACAGUUCUUUGUAAAUUCUCAAUAAGGUACAUAACCAUUAUCAAAAAGCAGUAGUGAGAGGGAGGAUGUGUAUCACAGAAGUAAAAUACAUAUCUUUGCACUCACUGUUUAUUUGUGUAUUUAUUUGUUUGUUUGGAACCCCAUUAGCUUCCACAAAAUGGUCACUGUCAGGGUGAUGGUUCUACUCUAGAGAUGAAAUUUUGAACCCCAUGUGCAGGGGUUUUGGUUCCUGGGUUGCAUUCUAGCGGCAACCUCUGACCUUUUGAAAUGAGCCCAAUGUAGUCAUACUAAAAUCUGCAGAUCUUCAGGGUCCACUCCAGUCCAGCUCCAGAAGCCCCAACAAAUCUUUCUGUCCAUCCUUCUUCACAGUAAAGUUUAGCCCUUGCCUCAUGUUUGGUUAACCAAACAUAAGGGUGAGUCAGCGUUUCCAGUACGGCGACCAUUGUCAGACUGAGUCCAUAUUUAAUGCAUUCUCUGGUCCGUAAGUUAGUCAGUUUUGUUGUAAGAAAUGAGCAAGAGUGUAAUUAAUUGAUCUGCAGAUUAAUCGAUCCAGCCAUUAGCAUUCGAUAAUAAUUUAUAGUCUCAUUUCAACAUCAACAUUGUUGCAUACAAGGCCUUUAUCCCCUUUUCUCCAUCCUAAAUGAUAACAUCUUUAAUCUAAAACAGCCACUGGUUUAUGUUUCACAUUGAUUCUGUUAUGGCAUAUAUAAUAAUUCUGUUUAAUUGCCGCUCUGACAAAUAAAACAACAUUGUUGCAUUACAUUUACUGUAAGCUCAGUCAUAUUAACAUUAUCAGUUUGACAUGAUGUGAAUAUAGUAGGUCAUAUUUAUUUCUUGUUUUGUUAUUUUGUUAUUUGAGACUUAACUUGGACUUGCUGCAGCACACAGACUUGAAACUUGACUUGCCCUUCAGAGACUUGAUUUGGACUUGCAAAAAGAGACGUGUGCCUAUCUCUGAUUCAGACUAAUAUAUAUUUUUUGUACUAAGUUCUUAACAUAAACUGUGCUGUGAAGAGGUUUUUUUUUUAAUGGGUGUGUAUAUGGCUUCUGGUGCUUUUGCAGUCAGUUUCUAGUGGACGCUUGAGCAACUGCAGUCUUAGGCACUUGGUCUGGCUUUAUCCAUCAAGACUGGAGGUUGCUGCUUAGACUAGAUUUGUUUGGACUCUGCUCAUCUUGUCUUACUCAAUUGGGAAAUUUGAUAAAACCACAGACUAGCUAUACAUUAUCCCUUACUUACAGUUUAUCAAUGUGCAGAACCUCUUAAAUUACUAUGCCAAGGACUAAUUUCUGCAGAGUUUGUUCCUAAUUUAUCAGAAGAUGACUUAAUGCUGUAAGUUAAAAAAGGAGAGAUUUUGGCCUUUGAUAUUUCAUUCAGCCCUCCAUCCUGUUAUACUAAGGUAAUUGAUGCAAGAGAGCCUGAAACAUUGGUCAGCAGGCUGCAAACCAUUUGUGAAUACAGGCCUGCCAAGCCUGAAAGAAAAAAACAAUAACAAGUGAGGAUGUUCCGGGAAGACAACAGAUGGAUGUGAGAGUCUUGUGAUGGAUGGGACGGGGGCUGGAGGAGAGGUAGAGAGGUAAAAAAUUAGGUUGGAAAAAUUGAUAGAAUGGAAAGAGAAAGGAGACAGGGGAGGGAGCCGAGGAGACAGAUCGAGAAAGAGUGAGUGGUCGGUACCGGGUCCCACAAGAGAAAUUGUAAAGUAAAGCUGAAUGAGUGAGCACAGGCAGUCCAGGGACAUCUUGCAGGUUUUUCCAGGCCGGACACUUCAGAGUGCAUGUCAGGUCCCCGGGCGCCCUGGAGCCAAGGCACUUCCUGACAUAAGUAGCCUCCCAAAGAUGAACAGCAUCACCUCAGCUACAGUUAGAGGGUCGAGAAAUUGCUCCCACUGCACAUGGCCCUCCUUCGCCCUGCAUAUCAUGUGACCUGAAGAUGUUUCUCAGUCCACUCUGGCCUCUGAAAAAGACAGCUUUUACACUUCUUAACUCUUCCACUUGGUGGGACACGGAGACCGGUGCAGCACAGCAGACCUUUUUCCACAUGAGUUUACCCAUUAGGGCUGUUCUAAAAUAAAGCCCUCUUAGUCACACAUGAACUGAAGGUGAAUUAUGGAUGGGGCCUUGGUGAUGAAGUUGUGGGAUAUCUUAAUGACACCCAACACGUCUCUCCUGGAUUCCCAAGCUGCCGUAAAUUAACUAGCUCUCAUAAUUAAACUGGGGAGAGAACAAGCUCAGUCAUCAAUAAGUCAUCACUGGCAGCUUCAAUUUACUAGCCUGCACUCACUGAUUGUGUCGUCUAAAGUGAUUCGGCACGCUCCUCGGGGUGGGUGUACACUGUUCCCUAAAGCCUCCUUUCAACACAGCACAUACCUAAUAAUAAGCACUCAAUGAAUAACUUACAUUAAAACACUGUUACUGUGGAUUAACCAUAAUAGCGAGUGAUAAAAUAGUAAUCCAUCAUGUUUACACGAUAAAACUCUUUCUUUGCAUAACCUGUGGCUACAAAAGCUGUCUCAGGCCAUGUAAUGACACUGUUGCCUCCCUCAAUGCUCCAUUAAUGCUCUCAGGAGUUUCAUCAACUUCAACAACUGGAGAGGAGGAUUCUCUCCAAACACAUGAGAACAAAGGGAAAACCUCGAUUCUAGGUCCAUUUAUCCGCAUUAUAAAGCUGCAUGCAUGCUGCUGUCUUAAAUAAGUUUGCAGUGUAUACUUCAGCACCCCAUCUAACAUUCAUGUCUCCUUUUUAUGCUUUUAUCACCUUGGAUACGCCCGGCUCAGCCAACCGUGUACGCACUCCCUUAUCUGCCAGUUCCAGGAACAUCUAGUGGCCCCGCCAAAGUAAAACACAUCCUGCACUUUCGUGUCCGUGACUCCGCUUUUUACCAUUUAGUGACACACAUAUCAAGGUGGAUUAUAUGUCUGAUAGAUAACAAAUGUUGACCUGGGUGAAAGGUUUGUUUUUCCCCCCAAAGUGCAGCUUGCUGAAUAUAAAAUCUUGUGAAAUGUGCAUCACAUUAGAGCCAAAGUGUUCAAGAAUUGCUAAAAUUUUGAUAACCUUUUGGGUUUCUUCAUAAAAAUGUGCAAGUUUUCUUAUUAAUAUCAUAAAAACAUGCAGCUAAUGCUAGUAAUUCUUACAAUAAUUUCCUAAAUGAGCUCAGUCCAAUUCAUGAAAAUUCAACUCAUUCAGUUUGGACAGUUAAAGCGUGUCCUGCGAGCGUGUGCAUGAAAGGAAGCAUACGACUGGAGGCCUGACUAACAGCGGCUGCAGAGUGUGAAGAGAGUGCAGUAGUCAGGAUGAUUGAACUUGGCUGUCUUCAGGGAGGGGGAAGUACAUGUGCUAAUCCUAAUCAGGACCUGUUCCCUGCCAUGUAAUGGAGUAGGAACAACCCCGAGCUCCACGCUGGACACGCUGAGGCUACAUUAGUGAAUAAUGUUUUCCAGUGUGGGACACCGUUUCUAUUACGCUCCACAUGCGGGAGGAAGAGGAAGCUGUCACUGUGAAUUAAGCGCUGAGCUUGCCAUGCAAACAUAUCUUGUGUAAUUGGAGUAAAAAAGUGAGCGAGGGGAAGAGGGUAAAGGCUUUUUAAAAUAACACUCAGCCUCCUCUACAUCGCUAAGACGGUAUGUUUGAGACAUGAUGAAGCUUUUAGCAAACUGUCAACCUUCAGGACAAAGGAUUCUUACACUCCAUCCUCCGGAGGCUGUUUUAUUUACUCAUUCUGCGGCGGUCUGUGGCUCGCCUCAAAAAGCUUCUGCUGGUAUUUGUUCACUCUGAGCACUGCUGCAGUGUUUUUCACCCCCCCCCCCCCUCAAAAAAAAAAGAAAGAAGAAAAAACAGUCCAGUUUACCUGAUUAUAUCGACAGCUCUACUGUAAAAUCUCCUGGCAUUAGAGGUCAGAGGGACUAUGUUUUCUUAUUGUCUCACUGAAUCCACUUCCAUCUAGCAGAGAGUAAAUCUCAGAGUGGAAUCACUUUUCUGACAAUAAUCUAUAAAUUAUGCACUGCUUGUGUUUGAAUUGAGAAAGGCUUUCAUAUCUCUUCCAUUAACUCAGAUUAAGAUUUCAUACUGAUGCUGGGGAGAAUGCUAGCAAUAUCCCCGUCUCAUUUCGAUGAAAUUUUUAUUAGUGCUUUUUUCUGUAGUACACUCCUAUUGGGAUGUCUGUGAAUCUGAAGCUUGGCUUUGGACAUGAACUCCCCUCAACCUGCCUGCCAGUGGCUCUGAAGGUUUCAAUAUUUUAUGGGCUCGAGCUAACUCAGCCGUGAGAUUCCAGCUGCAGAGAUUUAACUCUAAUGUAAAAAUCCUGAACGGAUGAAAACUGGGGUGUCAUAAGUAAUACAUCUGUUCUGAGAGGGGCUGUAGUUAUCAUCCAUGAAAAAAAAGAAAAACAACUAAUAAUAAAGAAGUGAGUAAAAGAACAGAGGAAAAAAGGCAUUUAAGGAUGAACACGCUCCUCGUUUCUUCUUCUUUGUGUAUUCAAAAUGAAAGACCUAUCGCUUCAAGGCUAAAAUAUAUCAACCCUAAUCUCCCAGUCCUUCAAUUGACUCCUAAUUGUGUGCACUUUUUACUCCUUUUUGUGCAGCCAUCAAUAAAAGCAGUCCCCUCAUGUCAUGCUUCUAAAGAAAUGGGCAUCACGCCACUUACACUUUCUAGGCCAAAUCCAUUUCUUUGAGCAUCUUGCCUUUUUCUUUCUCGCUCUCCUAACAGAAUUCAAAGCAUUUGGAAAAUCUGUCUAUUCAGCAUUAGCGUCCCGGCGCAUUCUCCCCCAGAACCAACUGAGGUCAGAUGAGAUGGGUCUGAUGAACUUUCCCAUUUCUCCCAUCCCUGCAAUCUAUAGCUUUCUCCCUUGAGCCAUAUGUUGUCCAGUGUAGUCAAGACUGCUUGUAAUGGCUCUGCUAACAAUGCACUCUUUGUGCUGGAUAAGGAAGGGAAAAAGCCUGACGCCGAGGGGCAAGAAGAAGGAGAAACACUUUUAGUGCCUGCUUAUAUAUCUUUUUUUCAUUCCAUUAUACAAGUGGACUCUGCUGGAAAUAUUUGUCUUGACAGUAGUUUAGCAUCGCUCCCCACUCCACCGCCCUCA
rnacentral:lncRNA from 1 species